UGCAGCCGCGGAGUCCCGCCCCAGCCUGCGUCUGCCAGUAGCUCGGUCGCUGCUCUUUUCCAGGCGGGUUAGCCCUACCAGGAGGAACCGAAGACAGAAUACUGGCUGGCUGGCCCUCCCAGCGCUCGCAGCCGCACCAUGCUCGUCCUCCGAAGCGGCCUGACUAGAGCUCUGGCUGCGCGGACGCUCGCGCCUCAGGUGCACUCAUCUUUUGCUACGGGCCCAAGACAAUAUGAUGGAACAUUCUAUGAAUUUCGUACUUAUUACUUUAAGCCCUCAAAGAUGAAUGAGUUUCUGGAAAACAUUAAGAAAAACAUACAUCUUCGGACAGCUCACUCUGAAUUGGUUGGAUCCUGGAGUGUAGAAUUUGGAGGCAAAAUGAAUAAAGUGUUUCAUAUUUGGAAGUAUGAUAAUUUUGCUCACCGAACUGAAGUUCGGAAAGCCCUGGCCAAAAAUAAAGAUUGGCAACAAUUUCUCAUUCCAAAUCUGGCUCUCAUAGAUGAACAAGAGUUUGAGAUUACUUACCUGGUGCCAUGGUGCAAAUUAGAAAAGCCUGCAAAAGAAGGAGUCUAUGAGCUGGUUAUUUUUCAGAUGAAACCAGGUGGGCCAGCUCUGUGGGGUGACGCAUUUAGAAGGGCACUUAACGCCCAUGUGGAUCUAGGCUACUCAAAACUAGUUGGAGUUUUCCACACAGAAUAUGGAGCACUCAACAGAGUUCAUGUUCUUUGGUGGAAUGAGAGUGCAGACAGUCGUGCAGCUGGGAGACAUCAGUCUCAUGAGGAUCCCAGAGUUGUGGCAGCUGUUCGGGAGAGUGUCAAUUACCUCGUGUCUCAACAGAAUAUGCUUCUGCUUCCUACGUCAUUUUCACCUUUGAAAUAGUUUUCCACUGAAAGACAAAGCAUUGCAUUAACUGCUAUAAGAUGUGUCUGCUAAUGGUGCUUAAAUUCUCCCAAGAGAUUCUUUUAUUUGGAAGAUGGAAAGCAUCUCCUCUGGUAACCGUGGUAUCUCCAGUUAACAUCUUGAAAGUUGAUGAUUUCCCAGCCCCAUUAACUCCCAGAAGUCCAAAGCACUGAAACAUAUUGGAGACCUCUAAGGAACUGCUGAAUAUCCUCCAGGGGAUCAGAGUGCCAAAUCUUUCAAAGGCGUCUGAAGUAGCAGCUGAGCACCAAGUAAUCCCCACACCCCAGCCUCCUGGGAUCUGGGAUACCUGGAUCAAAGUCAUCCUUCUGAACUACUGGAGUCCAGAAAAUAUAAAAGCAAGCACAGGAAGAGAUCAACUUACCUAAACUCAUUCACCCAGAUCUUGUUCUUUAAACUGCAGAAGCCAAAGAAAAAGAAACCAAAAUCAGUGUGAAGAAACAUUGAUCCUAUUCCUGAUGAUACAAAAGAAGUUACUAUCUACCUGAGGAAAUAAACAGAGACAAAGAAUCCGGUGAUCAGGCUGGUGUUGGGGGGUGGUACCCACGGAAGGAUGCCCCAGUCACUGUGUCUUUUUCUCCCCAUCUUAAAACCAUGUUAUUUAUAUGAAAAUCAUGCUUUGGGUUAAACCAAUUCAAAAGCCACCUUACAAAGAUGUGACUGAACCAAAAGAUGUUUUUAAAUUCUUUUUAAGUAGGCUCUACACCCAAAGUGGGGUUCAAACUCAUGACCUUGAUAUCAAGAGUCGAAUGUUCUAUACCACCUGAGCCAGAUAGGCACCCUGAAACUUACUGAAUUCAGGUAAUAUGUUAACUAUGGAGGACAUGGAAAGGUUAUGCCUCGUUCUUGGAAACUCGCAGUGAUUAUCAUUCAAGCACACCCCAGCCCUGUCAUUUAAAGUCACUGAGAAUACCUAAUAGAGAGGCUCAACAAACCAAAAGGAAACCAGAAUGAACAUUUCCUGGGCAUCAAGUACUCAAUGCUGUGCAGUGAUGCCCCAGGAACGUUCAUGGCUCUCUCAAGGUUCCACAGCCAGGUCAGACCAUUGAGUUGGCCCAGGGCUCACUUCAUAGCACUACAUAUUACCAAAAUUAUCAUGCAUUCCAUUCAGGAGAGGCCCUUUAUAUGUAUCAUGUCAUUUCAUCUGCACCACAGAAUAGUAAGAGGACAGUUAAGGACAACUGAUUGCUCCUGGUAAAACAGAUAAUAAGUAGAAUUCAAAUUUGAAUCCAGAUUUUUUGUUGUUGACAAAUAACCUGGUGCAAAUUUAAGGUGUAUAACAAUUUGAUCUGACGUACUAUGUAUUACAAUAUGAUUACCAUGGUGCUGUUAGCUAAUACCUCCAUCAUGUCCUCUAACUAUUUUCUCGUUUUUGUGGUAAGCACAUUUUUAAGAUCUAGUUGCUUCAUAACUUGGAAGUAUAGAAUACAGUAUUUUUAACUACAAUCAACAGUGUACAUUUGAUCUCAAGAACUUUUCUAAUGCACAGCACUGUGAUUAUGCUGGAAAGCCCUAACAUUGAUGCUAACACUAAAAGUUCAUAAUACUUACCUUUUCUAGCUUAGGAAAAUAUCCUAAACUCCGAAAAGCCAACAUCAGCCAAAAUUUGAUGUCUUCAAUUCCCCUCCCCCCACACACUCAGCCUGCUAUUUUUAGACCUAUAAUUCCCCUACCCAGGAAGGGCCAGGUUUAGUAAAUAAUGACCUUUUGGCUAUGAUCUGCACAUAGGUCUUCACAAGAUAAUCCGAAAUGUUUCUUCCCGUCAGGUUCUGAAGGAUGUCUGCAGUGUUCUGUUUCCUCUGUCAUCACAGAAAAACCAAGCACAAGUGUCUUUAUGGACCACAAUUGGAACAGAAACAAAAAAUCAAAGACUACAGUGACACAUGUCCCUCAAACAUGGACCACAGUAUGACCAGACCCCAGGCGCUGCCAUCAUCCAAACACCAAGGCCUAGUCCAUUCUGCCCUCAGCAUUGGCCAUUCCCUUCUGCCAAGCUAACAUGUUCCCAGGAAAUUAUUCUGAACUGCUAAACAAUAGACAGUAGAAUAUGAUUCUGUAUAGUCACAAAGGUAUUUAGGGGAGCAGUAUCAUUGACUCUAUGCCCAGUGAAUUCUCCUGUUCACUGGAGUUAUACUGAUGAAUAGAUGAGCUGUUAUUUUAGGGAGAAGUAACCAGGAUACCUUUAAGUUCUCACACCCAUUUGAAAUCACUUGUCCUCACCCUGCAACCUAGAUACUGAUACAGCAGCAGAGGGAGAUCACAAACAAGCCUCUUCCUGAAAUCGUUCUCAGAAAAAAGGCUCAGGACUGCUCCCCACACUCACAGUCUCAGAGAAUGUCAGAAUUUUAAGACCCACAGAAGCUUCAUGGGCCAGCCUCUCUAAUUCAGAGGUGGGGAAACAGGUCCAGGCACUGAGGGGCCUGUCCCAGGUCACCAGCUCAUCUGUGGCAGAACCAGGGAUGAAGCCCAGCCUGUCAUACUAUAUGUUCUGUCAACACUACCUCAGCAGGAGAAGCCAGAGUGUGUCUUCCACAGCCCACUGAUCCCGAGCAUUGGGUUCUGGCUUUAAUUCGAACAGAAUUAAGAUCAAGACUGAAAGACAACCCCCUGCAUGACUGGUCAUCCAUUCCUUCUUCCUAACGGAAGCGCCCCAGCCCACUCUGCACCGCCAUCUGCUCAGUCACACUGAGACUGACUCACUUGUGGAGGAGGCAGCCCUCCUGCCCCCAGGGGACACACAGGCAGCAUCUUCUUGAUUUUGUCGCUGCUACACUGGCAGGCGGGUGAGGGGUUCUCCAUCGUCCAGUUGCCACUUUGGAAGAGUUUCGUGAUGGUCUGGGGAACCGGGGCGGUGGUCCACUCUUCUUCCCCCACUGAGCAAGGCAUGUCUCUGCAGAGGGAAGACAUCAAAGGUAGCAUCACCCGAGAGGGCCUGGCCAUUCCUGGUGCCUCAGGAGCACAGAUCAAUCAAUAACAACCACAAACAUGCAUCUAUCCCCUCACCAUUUGUGUGAUCUCCCCACAGACCUGUGAGCCGCAAACUUCCUUUGCAGUUAAGGAUGAUGGAACACAAAGAGGCCCAAAAUGCUCACCUACCAAACUCCAGUCAGUGCAAUCCACCAGCAUUUGGUCUCCUGCCCCUGUGUUCACUCAACGAAUAUUCACUGAGCAUCUACGUGCCAGACACUGUUCGGCACAUUUGAGAGUCCGGGGUGAACAAGACAAACUCUCUGCCUGCAUGGAGCUUGCAUCCCUGUGCAGGAAUUUGGCAAUAAACAAAUGUCACCUAGCCAAAAAUAAAGCAAAAUAAGAGGGAAACGGGGGGAAACAGGGCUGCUUCUCCCAAAGAGGGUGAUACUUCUUCCAAGGCAUACACGAUUAGAAAGAGAAGCCAGGAAAAGAUUUGGGGAGAAAGAGCACUAUAAGCAAGGGCAAUAGAAAGUGAGAAAAUGAGCUUUCCAUGUUUGAGGAACAGCAGGAAGGCAGUGUGGCUGGGGCGAGAUGAGCUAGGAGGGAGAAAGUGGAAGAGGAGGGGUGGAGGGAGGCAGGUGCCAGAUGAUCAGGUCAGGGAAGGAGUCUGCAUGUUAUGCUCAAUGUGCUGAAAAUCUGGUGCAGAAUGGAAAGACUCACUUUAUGUCUUAAAAUGAGUAGAGAAUUGGGGUUGGGGAGGGAUGGGGAGAGGGUGCUCAGUGCAUGAAGAGCUAGGUUGUUUGCAAGCACCCUGGGUGACAAAAGACAAGGCCUUUGUGCCUGACUUGAGCUCUGAAUCCCUGUGGACCACCAACAAGACACUUGCCCUCUUGGGUCUUAUCUUCUCCACUAGUAAAAUAAAAGUACAAAAUGA